rnacentral:lncRNA from 1 species
CAGGCUAAUGGAAGUGCUAAGAAAGCUGGUGGGGAUUGUAAGCCUACCUCCCCCUCCUUACCUGCUUCUAAGAUUCCAGCCCUUUCUCCCAGCUCUGGGAAAAGCAGUUCUCUGCCCUCUGCUAGUGGUGACAGCUCUAACCUCCCCAGUGCACCUGCUACUAAAUCAUCGAUUGCUUCUACCCCUCUCAGCCCCCAAGCAGGACGGUCCGUUCACUCUGCUUCCCUCAUCCCGUCUGUCUCUAAUGGCUCCUUCAAGUUUCAGAGCCCGCCUCAUGCAGGUAAAGGCCACCACCUUUCGUUCGCACUGCAGGCUCAAAAUGGGCGAGCUGCCCCUACUUCUUCUUCCUCCUCAUCCCCUCCUUCCCCUGCCUCCCCCACCUCCCUGAAUCAAGGUGCCAGGGGCAUCCGGACCAUCCAUACUCCUAGCCUCGCCAGCUACAAAGCACAGAAUGGAGGUUCAAGCAAAGCCACCCCGUCCACAGCAAAGGAAACGUCUUAAAGUCAGAUCCUAUUAGGCACAAGGUGGAAUUACAUUCUUGUUUUUAAUUUUUAGCAGUCUGGAACAACUGUUUUCACAAGAGAAUGUACCAUAGCACUGUCUAACCCUUUUUAUGUUUUCUUAGACCUGGUAACCCACACCAUUGCAUUGCAGAUUUUAAAAUGUACACUUCUGUAUGGUUCUGUACUGAGGAACUCUUGUAAAUAUACAAAUAUGAAUAGACAUCUAAAGACUAUAUGUGACAGCACAUAGAGUAGUUUUCCCACACCAAAGUUAAUUUGUAUGCAUGCUUUAAGAAUCUAUAUUGGGAUGGGCAGAAAUGGGACUAUCCACACAUUUUUAAAAAGCAACAAGUUUGCACAGUUAGGGUGGUUUUGUAAAUAACUGUAUUUGUAUAACACAGCCAUGUAACAUACGGAACUGUAAGCAGAGACUUUGCAAAACUAAAUAAAGGGCUGCAUGCUUAUUAUUUUUUUGUACCUUAUCACUAUAAUGAAUUCCAGUCAACAGAUAUGUAACUAUUGCCACAGGGUUUCAACUUUGAGGGCAUUCUAAGUAAUGUGUAACCACAUCCACUCAUACGGUGUUGCUUCCUUGAAAGCGAAGGAUGAGUUCUAAUAAACUAAUCAACCGUG